UAAGGAAUAUUGGACAAUGCCCGAGAGGGUGAUCCAGCCAUGCCGCGUGCAGGAAGACUGCCCUAUGGGUUGUAAACUGCUUUUAUAUAGGAAGAAUAGUUUGAAUUUAUUUGGAUAUGACGGUACUAUAUGAAUAAGCACCGGCUAACUCCGUGCCAGCAGCCGCGGUAAUACGGAGGGUGCAAGCGUUAUCCGGAAUUACUGGGUUUAAAGGGUGCGUAGGCGGCCUAGUAAGUCAGUGGUGAAAGUUUACCGCUUAACGGUAGAAUUGCCAUUGAUACUGCUAAGCUUGAAUUGGGAUGAGGUGAGUGGAAUGUGGCAUGUAGCGGUGAAAUGCAUAGAUAUGCCAUAGAACACCGAUUGCGAAGGCAGCUCACUGGACCUAAAUUGACGCUGAGGCACGAAAGCGUGGGUAGCGAACAGGAUUAGAUACCCCCGUAGUCC
rnacentral:rRNA from 1 species